rnacentral:rRNA from 1 species
GACGAAGGGGGCUAGCGUUGUUCGGAAUUACUGGGCGUAAAGCGCGUGUAGGCGGUUGCCAAAGUCGGGUGUGGAAGCCUUGAGCUCAACUCAAGAAUUGCACUCGAUACUUGGUGACUAGAGGACCGGAGAGGAUAGUGGAAUUCCCAGUGUAGUGGUGAAAUACGUAGAGAUUGGGAAGAACACCAGUGGCGAAGGCGGCUAUCUGGACGGUUUCUGACGCUAAGACGCGAAAGCGUGGGGAGCAAACAGG